rnacentral:sRNA from 1 species
AUGGCUGUCGUCAGCUCGUGUCGUGAGAUGUUCGGUUAAGUCCGCCAACGAGCGCAACCCUCGCCGUAUGUUACAAGUGUCAUACGGGACCGCCGGUAUCAAGCCGGAGGAAGGUGGGGAUGACGUCAAGUCAGCAUGGCCUUUAUGCCUGGGGCUACACACACGCUACAAUGGCCGGUACAAUGGGUCGCUAAGCCGCGAGGUAGAGCCAAUCCCUAAAGCCGGUCUCAGUUCAGAUCACAGGCUGCAACCCGCCUGUGUGAAGUCGGAGUUGCUAGUAAACGCGCGUCAGCUAUAGUGCGUUGAAUACGUUCCCGGGGAUUGUACACACCGCCCGUCACGUCAUGGGAGCUGGCAACACCUGAAGCCGGUAGCCUAACCGCAAGGAGGGCGCCGUCGAAGGUGGGGUUGGUGACUGGGACGAAGUCGUAACAAGGUAGGUGUACCGGAAGGUGCGCCUGGAUCACCUCCUUUCUAGAUUAACGAGCAAGGGUUCAGAACUCACGCAACCUGUGCUCAACCAAAUCUUUCACCCGCGGUGGGUGAGAGUCGAUAAGUAAGCUUCCUAUCACAAUUCAGUUGUUAAGGCCUAGCCUGGGCGGGCCUGUAGCUCAGCUGGUUAGAGCACAGUCCUGAUAAGACUGGGGUCACUGGUUCGAGUCCAGUCAGGCCCACCUGAUUUCUCAGGCAGUGCUCGGGGAUGUAGCUCAGCGGGAGAGCAACGCCUUUGCAAGGCGAAGGCCACGGGUUCGAAUCCCGUCAUCUCCACUGAGCCUUUGCAUGAAAAGAUGAGGAAAAGUUUGAAGUUGGUGAACCUGGAACAACGAUAGAAGUUUGGCUCUGAUCGCAAGGGUAAAACACGCAGCCCGGCGAUGAGCCGGGUCGCUUUGUCGAAAGAAAUAGUUGACUGCCAACCCGUGUACUUGACAGAUGUGAAGCACACCGGUCGCCGGUCAACGGCGAAAACAGAACCUUGACAACUGAAUAGUUAUUGAUGAAUUGACAAUUUUUGAUGUAGGCCGAACAAUAUCAAUUUCUCCGCAUCACGUGGAGAAGCUACUAAGGGCUUACGGUGGAUGCCUUGGCGCCAAUUGCCGAUGAAGGACGUGGGACACUGCGAUAAGCCUCGGGUAGCCGUGAACAGGCGUUAAUCCGAGGAUUUCCGAAUGGGGAAACCCGG